rnacentral:RNase_P_RNA from 1 species
GAAGUUCGCCAGGCAGUCGCUGCGCACCUAGUGUGCGUGGAGGAAAGUCCGGGCCCCGCAGAGCAGGAUGCCGGCUAACGGCCGGGCGCCGUGAGGCGACGGAAAGUGCAACAGAAAGCAAACCGCCGAUGGCCUGUUCUCAGGCACAGGUAAGGGUGAAAUGGUGCGGAGCUGCGUGUGAGCGCGGUUCCGGGCGGGGCGCAAGUCUCGCCGGGUAAGAGCCCACCGCAGGACUGGCAACAGGACUGGCACGGCAAACCCCAUCCGGGGCAAGGCCAAAUAGGGGAGCGAUGGCGUGGCUCGCGCUGCUCCCGGGUAGGCUGCUAGAGCGCCGUGGCAACACGGCCCCCAGAGGAAUGACUGCCCGGCGGUCGCGACGCGAGUUGCGGCCGUUCGACAAAACCCGGCUUAUCGGCGAACUUCCCAU